rnacentral:SRP_RNA from 1 species
GCCGGGUGCGGUGGCUCAAGCCUGUAAUCCCAGCACUUUGGGAGGCCGAGAUGGGUGGAUCACGAGGUCAGGAGAUCGAGACCAUCCUGGCUAACACGGUGAAACCCCAUCUCUACUAAAAAUACAAAAAGUUUUUGUAUUUUUAGUAGAGAUGGGGUUUCACCGUGUUAGCCAGGAUGGUCUCGAUCUCCUGACCUCGUGAUCCGCCCGUCUCGGC